GGGCGAAAGCCUGAUGCAGCGACGCCGCGUGAGGGAUGACGGCCUUCGGGUUGUAAACCUCUUUCAGCAGGGAAGAAGCGAAAGUGACGGUACCUGCAGAAGAAGCGCCGGCUAACUACGUGCCAGCAGCCGCGGUAAUACGUAGGGCGCGAGCGUUGUCCGGAAUUAUUGGGCGUAAAGAGCUCGUAGGCGGCUUGUCGCGUCGGUUGUGAAAGCCCGGGGCUUAACCCCGGGUCUGCAGUCGAUACGGGCAGGCUAGAGUUCGGUAGGGGAGAUCGGAAUUCCUGGUGUAGCGGUGAAAUGCGCAGAUAUCAGGAGGAACACCGGUGGCGAAGGCGGAUCUCUGGGCCGAUACUGACGCUGAGGAGCGAAAGCGUGGGGAGCGAACAGGAUUAGAUACCCUGGUAGUCCACGCCGUAAACGGUGGGCACUAGGUGUGGGCAACAUUCCACGUUGUCCGUGCCGCAGCUAACGCAUUAAGUGCCCCGCCUGGGGAGUACGGCCGCAAGGCUAAAACUCAAAGGAAUUGACGG
rnacentral:rRNA from 1 species